UUCUGUUUUACAUGUGAUCCGGGGGUGAGAUAAUGCCACAGUAAGUGUAAAGAUCCCCUAGGGUCCUUUCACCUCUUGGUCCUACUUCUUUCCUUCCUAAGCCCCUGUCAUGGGUUUCUCCACUGGCCCCUUGCACCUGCAGCCUCCUCACUGUGGGCAGGGGUGGGUGAGGGAGAUGGAGGGCUGCAGGGGAGGGACUCCUGGGUGAGGGGAACUUUGCUGAGCAGCCCUGCUCUCUUCUCCGUGGAACUCUCCAAAUUGGACUCCCCAAGUCAGGAAGGACUGCCCACGGAGGAUGAAGUAUCCCAGCACACCUCUCGGGAGCCCAGAACAGAAGGCAAAAGAUAAGGAAACUGAGACCUAGAGAAGGAAUGAACUUGACCAUACCCACAGAGCCAUCAGGAGCAGGGCUUGGUGCCCAGGAGGGUCCCGGAAUUGUGGAGGACCUACUAUGAAGACGCCCCCAGGAGCUGCAAGCAUGGGGGAUGUAAGCCCGGCUGGGUCAAUCUCUGCCCAGAAUCAGCUGGAGCUCCCGGCGGUGUGUCCCAGGGGUCCUGGACACGAGAGGACCAUACUGGCUGGCAGGGGCUGGGGAGGAUUCUGGAGAAAGCAACACAUAGCCUGGGCCUUGGAGGAGGCGCUGGAUGCUCUGUGCUUGCAGAGACGGGCUGGUGGCCAGGAGGAGGACUUUGUGGGCAGAGAGGGGACGAACAGCCUGAGCAAGGGGCUUUUGAAAUUGCGCGGCAUGUUGUGGGCAAGACCAAGGGCUUGACGGGCCCCAGGCUGAGCAGCAGAGUGACAACUAGGGGCCACAUUGCCGAGACCCCCAGGGCAGGCUGAAAGGACUGUAGUGGGUGAUGCACCCACUUAAAGGCCUCACCCACAGAAGGCCUCCGCCCAGCCCCAGACCUGCCCUGUAGCACUGAGUGAAGCCCGACCAUCCCCCACAUCUCCCUGAGCCUCAGUUCUCUUAUACAUAAAAGAAGAAGAACAUUACCUCUUUGACUUCACGUGAAAGUAUUUUUUAGGUUGUAAAUUACUAGACAAAUA